rnacentral:lncRNA from 10 species
AGCCAUUCCUGAGGGACCUGACCCUUGACCCAAACCCCCGCCCGUAGGCCUCACUCCAACACUGGGGAUACAUUUCAACAUGAGAUGUGGAGGGGACACACGUCCAAACCACAGCACCAGGCAAUGCUUACACUGCGGGUCUGGGGCCCACUCCGAGAAUGACUGCUCCGGACAAAAUUACACACACGGACCACGCACCCACCCACAGGAUCACACGCCCGUCUUCGGGUUGGGGGUGCAGGGAGGACGGGUAGAGAUGUGUUGGGGUGCAAAGGAAAAGUCCUCAUGGCCCACAUAUGUGCUCUGACCCAGUGGCUCUGCAGAAACCCAUGAAAGAGGAUCCUGAAAGAGCAAGGGCGGCCUCCAGGUGAAGGUGGUGGGCGGCCUCCAGGUGAAGGCGGCCUCCAGGUGAAGGUGGUCAGCACCCUCCCUUUGGCCAAGAGGAGACUGCAGUUUCAACUCAAAGAUUAUUCCUGAAUGAUGCAGCAAGCUUAAACUUCCUUAAAAACAAACCUCUGGGAAGAGGAAAACGAGGCAAGAUGCUGAGAAAAAGUCAUCUCCCACUCUGCCCUUCUCUGGCAAAUCGAAGUGUCCUCUUGUGGGAGGCGGUGGGCAGCGACACUCCUGUUGGACGUCAGUGCUCUCGGGAUGGGCCCGGCCACCCCGGAGCAGAACUCACUUAGGGCCUGGUGCCCCUGUGCCCAGUUCUCAGAACGUCGGAGUGCUCAGUUCUCAGAACGCCGGAGUGCCCCAUUCAUAACCUGCAGCCCCGUUCAUAGCCUGCAGCUCCCCUCCUUCCUCUCCUCCCGGUCGUCAGGGAGCACCCCCAGCUCCCCUCCCCACUCUCAAACCCUCCUCCUCCCUCCCCUCUCUCAUUUCCCUGUUUGCAGGAUCUCCUCCUGCCCACUCUCCAGCCCAGGUCCUCCCCUCUCAUCUCCAAUUCUGCUUCAUGGGCCAUGACAGCAGGCAGGCCAUGGCCUGCUCUCAGCAGUUUGAUCGAUGGACUAAGGAGAUCACUCCUAUGAGAGUGAAAAAGUCAAAUGUGCCUGAGAUUCGGAUGGGGAGCUCUCAAAGCUACGGAUUGCAAGAGUCAACACCGCCUCAAAAGUACAAGGCCGGCCGGGUGCAGUGGCUCACACCUGUAAUCCCAGCACUUUGGGAGACUGAGGCGGGUGGAUCACCUGAGGUCAGGAGCUCAAGACCAGCCUGACCAACAUGGUGAAAUCCCGUCUCUAUUAAAAAUACAAAAAAGAUUAGCCGGGUGUGGUGGUGCAUGCUUGUAGUCCCAGCUACUCGGGAGGCUGAGGCAGGGGGAGCACUUGAACCCGGGAGGUGGAGGUUGCAGUGAGCCGAGAUUGCACCAUUGCACUCCAGCCUGGGCAACAGAGUGAGACCCUGCCUCAAAAAAAUAAAAAAAUAAAAGUACGAGGCCCGGUUUAAAUGCAGGAGGAAUCUGGUGAGCGAGUUUCACUCUGAUGCAACAGAAAAGCCAAGCCAAGCCUUGGCUGUGCCUGGUCUUGGCCGGGGAGCCACAGGCAGGGUCUGCUGGUUUCGGUGUCAGGGGCACAUCCCCAGGACCACGUCUGAGAUGGGAAGUGCCUUGAUGGAAAACUGAUACCUUUUUCUUUCCGAGUAACUUUAGAACAUGUCGCUUCAAAUAUAACUAAUAUCCUGAUUUCAGUGGACUUGCAUGGAAGGAAACGCAAGUUCAUUUGCCAGUGGGGGGUGAGGACUGGGAGAGUGGGGAGCAGGGUGGGGAAGAGGGGAGCAUUCCACAAGCCGCAAGAGCCUGGACACCUCCAGCCUUCAAUAAAUAGCAUUUGAA